rnacentral:rRNA from 1 species
AUAAGCGGAGGAAAAGAAACCAACAGGGAUUGCCUCAGUAACGGCGAGUGAAGCGGCAAUAGCUCAAAUUUGAAAUCUGGCUCUUUCAGGGUCCGAGUUGUAAUUUGCAGAGGGCGCUUUGGCGUCGGCAGCAGCCUAAGUUCCUUGGAACAGGUCAUCAUAGAGGGUGAGAAUCCCGUAUGUGGCUGGUUGUCUUCACCGUGUAAAGCCCCUUCGAUGAGUCGAGUUGUUUGGGAAUGCAGCUCUAAAUGGGAGGUGAAUUUCUUCUAAAGCUAAAUAUUGGCCAGAGACCGAUAGCGCACAAGUAGAGUGAUCGAAAGAUGAAAAGCACUUUGGAAAGAGAGUCAAAAAGCACGUGAAAUUGUUGAAAGGGAAGCGCUUGCAGCCAGACGUGCCCGCAGUUGCUCAUCCGGGGUUUUCCCCGGUGCACUCUUCUGUGGGCAGGCCAGCAUCAGUUCUGGCGGUUGGAGAAAGGCCUGUGUCACGUAUCUGUCCUCGGACAGUGUUAUAGGGCAGGUGGAAUACAACCAGCUGGAACUGAGGUCCGCGCAUCUGCUAGGAUGCUGGCGUAAUGGCUGUAAGCGGCCCGUCUUGAAACACGGACCAAGGAGUCUAACAUCUAUGCGAGUGUUUGGGUGUCAAGCCCGAGCGCGUAAUGAAAGUGAACGGAGGUGGGAACCCUUCGGGGCGCACCAUCGACCGAUCCUGAUGUCUUCGGAUGGAUUUGAGUAAGAGCAUAGCUGUUGGGACCCGAAAGAUGGUGAACUAUGCCUGAAUAGGGUGAAGCCAGAGGAAACUCUGGUGGAGGCUCGCAGCGGUUCUGACGUGCAAAUCGAUCGUCAAAUUUGGGCAUAGGGGCGAAAGACUAAUCGAACUAUCUAGUAGCUGGUUCCUGCCGAAGUUUCCCUCAGGAUAGCAGUAACGUUUUCAGUUUUAUGAGGUAAAGCGAAUGAUUAGAGGCCUGGGGGUUGAAACAACCUUCACCUAUUCUCAAACUUUAAAUAUGUAAGAAGUCCUUGUUUCUUAAUU